UGGAUGAUGGAAUGGAAUGCUUCCCGGUGGUGACAAAUCUCAUGUACCUGUAGGAGGCAGACCGUAGACCGAGGGGUCAAGGGCACCGUCAUCGCCUGUCCACGCGGCCGGGCCCUCCACGGCCCCUCCUCCCCUUCUCAUCUCAGGCUUUCCCCACUCGGGACCCUCGUCUUGUCCUUCAGGGGAGACCAGCUGUGGCUUUGGAGGGUGAGGCCCUAACUUGCUGGAAGGCAAUGGAUUUAGGCAACGAGGGACGUACUGGGCAUCCUGACUGGGCGCCGAGGAGUCUAUGGAUUGUUCCGGAGCUGGUGACUCUGAGAGGAUAGGUCCGAGCAUUUGCUUAGAGGAUUUGUCUUUGGGGUCAUUGGGAACAUCUCUGCAAACUUUGGUAACAGACUCGACUGCCAGGGAGAACGAUGGCAGGAGCACGCCAUUUUCCAGUGGAGAGCACAUAAUGGGGAACCCAAAGACCGACCGUCAUGGUGACCGUGCUUCAGACAGAAUGCCUGAUGUUUCCAUCCUGGCUGAACGCCUUUCUCACUCUUCCUAAGUCCUUUGGUCUGCCCCUCCCCCCUUCUCUGGGCAGCUAACUCUACAUACCAUUAAAUGUGAGCGAUUCCAACUCUCGGCCCCCCACGCCAAAUCCUAUAACCCACCCACCAACCACUGAUGAGCUGCCUCUUCUCCUUCCAGUGCAGAGUCCAGCUGACCCCUGCCCCAUGCUCUGCACAGCCUUUCUGGAGAAUUCUAUCUUCUGUAGUGUCAGCUUUGUAUUUUCCACCCUGUUUAUUAAUGCGCUUGUAUCCUAAAAACACAACCACCCAGCACUCAAUCCUACUUAUUUGAUCCUCAACAAAAUACUAGCAAAUGGAUUCCAGGAACACAUUAAAAGGAUCAUAAACCAUGAUCAAGUGGGAUUCACCCCAGGAUGCAAGGAUCGUUCAACACAGGCAAAUCAAUAAAUGUGACGCACCACAUAAACUGAAUGAAGGAUAAAUCAUAUGAUCAUUUCGGUAAAUGGAGAAAAAGCAUUUGACAAAAUUCAACGUCCUCUCAUGAUAAAAACUCCCAACAAAUUAGUAUAAGAAGGAAUCUUGGUCAGCAUAAGGGCCACAUAUGACAAGCCAUAGCUAACAUCAUACUGAGUAGUGAAAGGUUAAAACCUUCUCCCUCUAAGAUCAAGAACAAGAACUCUCAUCAUCUCUUUUCAACAUAGUACAGAGAGUCCUAGCCAUAGCAAUUAGGCAAGAAAAAGAAUUAAAAGCAUAAAAAUUGGGAAGGAAGAAGUGAAAUUGCCUCCGUUUGCAGGUGAUAUCAUCUUAUAUACGGAAAGCCCUAAAGAUUCCAAAAAACUGUUAGAACUAAUAAAUGAAUUCAGUAAAAUCGCAGGAUAUAAAAUCAACAGAGAAAUUAGUUGCAUUACUACCCAUUACCAACAAACUGUCUGAAAGAGAAAUCACGAAAGCAGUCCUAUCUACGAUAGCAUCAAAGAUAACAAAAUACUUAGGACUAAAUUUCAACAAGGAGAUAAAAGACCUGUACACUAAAAAAUAUACAAAGUUGGUGGAAGACCGUGAGGAAGACAGAAGUAACUGGAAAGACUUCCUGUCUUCUUGGAUUAGAAGAAUAUUGUGAAAAAUUCUUUCUACAGAAAAAUCUAUAAUACAAUCCUAAUCAAAAUCCCCAUGGCAUUUUUCACAGAAAUAGAAAAAAUAUUCUAAAAUUUGUAUGGAAAUACAAAAGACCCCAAAUAGCCAGAGCAAUUCUGAAAAAGGAGAUCAAAGCUGGAGGCAUCAUACUCCCUGAUUUGAAGGUAUCUUACAAAGUUGUAGUAGUAAAAACAAUAGGGUUCUGGCAUAAAAACAGGCACAUAGACCAGUGGAACAGAACAGAGCCCAGGCACAAACCCAGACGUAUGUGGUCAACUAAUUUUUUUUUUUUUUUGUCAACUCAUUUUUGACAAGGGUGCCAGGAACACAGACUGGGGGAAAGAACAGUCUCCUCAACAAAUGAAGCUGGGAAAACUGGGUCUCCACAUGCAAAAUAAUGAAAUUGGAUCCCUAUCUUACACCACUCACAAAAGUUAAGUAAAAAUGGACCUACAAACGUGUGGCCAACUAAUCUUUGACAAAGCAGGAAAGAAUAUCCGAUGGAAAAAAGACAGUCUCCUCAGCAAGUGGUGCUGGGAAAACUGGACAGUGAUAAGAAGAAGAAUGAGCCCGGACCACUUUCUCACACCAUACACAAAAAGACACUCAAAAUGGAUGAAAGACCUAAAUGUGAGGCAGGAAGCCAUCAAAAUCCUAGAGGAGAAAACAGGCAACAACCUUUUUGACCUUGGCCACGGCAGCUUCUUACUACGCAUUCCUCUGAAGGCAAGGGAAAUAAAAGCAAAAAUGAACUAUUGGGACCUCAUCAAGAUAAAAAGCUUCUGCACAAGGAAGGAAACAAUCAACAAAACUAAAAGGUAACGGACGGAAUGGGAGAAGAUAUUGGCAAACGACAAAUCAGAUAAAGGGUUAGUAUCUAAAAUCUAUAAAGAACUUAUCAAACUCAACACCCAAAAAACAAAUAAUCCAGUGAGGAAAUGGGCAGAAGACAUGAAUAGACAUUUUCCCAAAGAAGACAUCCAGAUGGCUAACAGACACAGGAGAAAAUGCUCAAUAUCACUCAUCAUCAGGGAAAUACAAAUCAAAACCACACUGAGAUACCACCUCACACCUGUCAGAAUGACUAAAACCAACAACUCAGGCAACAGCAGACGUUGGCGAGGGUGUGGAGAAAGGGAUCUCUUUUGCACUGCUGGUGGGAAUGCAAGCUGGUGCAGCCACUCUGGAAAACGGUAUGGAGGUUCCUCAAAAAACUAAAAGUAGAACUACCCUAUGACCCAGAAAUUGCACUACUAGAUAUUUAUCCAGAGGUUACAAAAAUGCUGAUUCAAAGGAGAUGCACCCCAAUGUUUAUAGCUGCACUAUCGACAGUAGCCAAAUUAUGGGAAGAGCCCAAAUGUCCAUCGACUGAUGAAUGGAUAAAGAAGACAUGGUGUGUGUGUGUGUGUGUGUGUGUGUGUGUGUGUGUAAUGGAAUAUUACUCAGCGAUCAAAAAGAAUGAAAUCUUGCCAUUUGCAACAACGUGGAUGGAGCUAGAGUGUAUUAUGUUAAGCAAAAUAAGUCAGAGAAAGACAAAUAUAUGAUUUCACUCAUCGGAAUUUAAGAAACACAAUGGAUGCACAUCGGGGAAGAAAAAAUAAGGUAAAAAACAGGGAGGCAGACCAUAAGAGACUCUUAAAUACAGAGAACAAACUGAGGGUUGCUGGAGGGGAGAUGGGUGGGGGUAUGGGCUAAAUGGGUUGAUGGACAUUAAGGAGGGCACUUGCUGGGACGAGCACUGGGUUUUAUAUGUAAGUGACAAAUCACUAAAUUAUAUUCUUGAAUCCAAUACUAUACUGUAUGUUAACUAAUUUAAAUUUUAAAAAGUCAAGUAGAAAUGAUUCAAAGAUUUAAAUAAAAUCUGGAACAAUAAAACUUCUAGAAGAAAACAUGGAAAAAGAUCCUUGACAUUGGUCUUGGCAAUGAUUUCUUGGAUAGGACACCAGAGCACAUUCAACAAAAGCUAAAACAAACAAGCGGGACUAGAUUCCUUCUGCACAGCAAAGGAAACAAUUGAUAAACUGGAAAAGCAACUUACAGAAUGGGAGAAGAUAUUCACAAGCCAUCUAUCUGACAAGGAGUUCAAUCCAAAGUAUAUAAAGCACUCACUCAUCCAACUCAACAGCCAAAAAAUCAAUCCGAUUAAAAAAUGGGCGAAGGGGGUGCCUGGACAUUUUCCCAAGGAAGAUACACAAUGGCCAACGGGUACCUGGAGGGUGCUCAACAUCAGUAGUCAUCAGGGAAAUGCAAACCCAACCCCAAGGAGAGAUCACCUCACACCUGCGGAUGAAGGUUGGUUCAUGAAGGUUGGAGGAUGGUUAUUACCGAGGGGACAGAUGAUGACAAACGUUGGGGAGAAUGUGGAGAAAAGGAAACCCUGAUACACUGUUGCCGGGAAUUUCAGAUGGUUCGGUCGUUAUGGAAGACAGUACUGUAGCUCCUUAAAACUUAAACACUGAACUCUCACACGACCUGGCAAGGCCACCCCGGGUCACCUAUACGCAGGAAAAGGGAUCAGUGCUUUGAAGAGAGGUCUGCAUUCCCACGUUCCCUGCUGCUUUAUUCACAACAGCGCAGAUGUGGAAGCAACCCAAGCGUCUCUCCGUGCGUGACCGGAAGAGGAAAACGUGGCGUGUGCACACACAAUCGGGUGUCACUCGGCCAUAAAAAAAGAAGGAAGUCCUGCCGUUUGCAACAACACGGAUGAGCCCGCAGGGCAUUCUGCCGAGUGAAAUAAGCCAGACGGAGAAACCUAAAAACUGGAUCCCUCACGUGUGGAAUCUAAGACAGAAAAGCCCGUUUCGUAGAGACUGAGACUAGGACAGUGGUGGCUGGGGCGGGGGCGGGGGCAACGGGGGUGAUGUUGUCAAGGGGCACAGAUCUUACAAGAAUAAAAGUGGAAGCUGUGCCCGGAGGCCCUUUUAGGUCCUCAGAUGUUCUGUGUCCACAGGAGGCUGUGGUCAUCUGCCCUCAGACAGCUCUCCGCCCGCCGUCCGUGUGGCACUCCACACAGCCAGUGGCACUCCUGGCCACCCGGACCACCAAGCCGGACAUUUCCACCCGGCCAGCUCUAGCCCGGGUCACUCUGGCAGGGGUGCCGACUCAGCCGUGGGUGGCUGUACUGCUAGCGACCCACGGGGGGCCACGUUCUCUCAGCCUGACCUUGAACUCAUGUACAUCCCGGACCUGUCACAAGUUAGCCGCUCUGCCCCUCAGUUCCCGUGUCCGCGGACUCAGCACCUCAACCUUCUGUGCCGGCGUGCGCACAGUUGUCGCUUUCUGGGACUCUGGGUUUUGUGGGCAGGUUUUGUUUUUGUUUUUUUACUUUGAAAUACAAUUUAGAUAGCAUAAAAUUCACUCCAGUGCUUUUUAGUAUAUUCAUCACCUUGUGGAACCAUCACCACAAUCAUUUUUAGAACAUUUUCAUCACUCGAAGACAAAACCCACAUACCCCUGACAGUCAGCCGCUAGUCCCCAGCAUCCUCAGCCCCGGGCGUCGGCUCAUCUACCGCCCAGCUCGGCCGAGUUUCCUAUUCCGGACGUUUCAUGGAAGUGAGAUGACAUGUGGCCUUUCGGACUGCCUUCUUUCAGUUCCCAUAAUGUUUUGGGGGGUCAUUCAGGCUGUAGCGUGUCUAUACUUCAGUCCUGUUGAUGGGUGAAUAAUGUUCCUCGGUAUAGACGUGCUCGUGUGUAUCACGUCUGUGUACCUACCGUGUUCUGUCUGUCCAUUCGUCAGGAACGCUGGCGUGGUUUCUGUCUUACGAACAAUGCCGCCGUGAACAUUCGUGGCAAGUUUUGGUGUGACAAGGUUUGAAUUGCCCUUGGGUAUAUACCUGGGAGUAGGAGUGCUGGGUCAGAUGGGGACUGUUUACCUUUCUGAGGCGUUCACAGACUGUUUUCCAGGGCGGCCACACCGUUUUACAUUCCCAUCAAGCACGCAAAGCCUCCAGCCUCACAUGACUGCAGUGUUCGUUAUCACCUGCCCUUUGGAUUCUACUCUCCCUGGUGGGUGUGAAAUUGUAUCUCGCUAUGGUUUCGAUUCACAGUUUCCUGAUGACAAAUGAUGUUAAGCAUCUUUUUGAUGUGCCUAUGUAGGUUUUUUAGUUAGAGAGAGAGAGAGAGAGAGAGAACGAGUUGGGGCCAGGGUGGGGGGAGAGAGAAUCCCAAGCAGGCUCCGCACCGUCAGCACAGAGCCCAGUGCAGGGCUUUGAACCCACGAACCAUGAGAUCGUGACCUGAGCCGAAAUCAAGACGCUCAAGUGACUGAGCCCCCCAGGUGCCCCUCUAUACAGAUUUUAAAUCUGGUGUAGGAUCCAGGGUUUGAGGGAGGCUGGUACUAACUAUAAAGGGAGAAUUAAACUUCAGGAGCAACGGUUUUGUGUUCAACACCGUGUUACCUUUUCGACAAUCCUGCUCGCCUCCUACCCCACGCUGCCAGAACUUCACGGCUGAUUUUAUUCUUGUUCUAAUAAACUUCGUGUUUCUAUGAUUUGGUUUUCUGAUUAAGCCUAUGGCCCGGGAGUCAUUCAUCUUUCUGUUUUGCCUUUUUUUUUUUUUUUUUUAAUUUAAAAGUGCCAUUCAGUUUUUUCCUAUACAGUCUCAUCAUCUAAAUAUGGAGAUCUAGAAAGGACAAGGCAAAAAUAGAAAUCACGCAGAAUUGUGUCACCCAGAGCAAAUUUGUAUGUUCUCUUCCAGCUCUCUCUCCAUAUAUAGCUUUGUACACAGUUGGUUCUCUGUGUAGUGAAGUCACCACGAACACUGCAUUAGUGGGCGCUGAACUAUUGUUCCUGUUUACAUUUUUGUCACAUAGUAAAGUGUUUGAAGACAUCUUGAUGGUAUUGAUGCGUUAAGACCGGACUCACGGCCAAAAGCACUAGAACUCACGAGUGAGCAAAGCGGAUCUGACACAGGUAUUUUCUCCAUAAAGCACAUCACAGCCUUCUGGGCAGGGACUCCACACGGCACUUCAGCAUUGCCGUUGCAAGCAGCAAAACCACCAACCAAAAGCACAAACAUGAAAGCUGUGGCACCAGACAGAGCGCGAAGAGAGCA